GGGGGUAUAGCUCAGCUGGGAGAGCAGCAGACUGAAGUCUAGUGUCGUAUUCACCGCAUUCUGAAGGUCCCGCGUUCGAUCCGCGGUACCCCCA